AUCGCUUCUCAGCCUUUUGGCUAAGAUCAAGUGUAGUGCAGUAUUUGAAAGUAUAAUUCUUUUAUGGGUUGGCAUGGUGGCUCAGUGGUUAAGACACUGGGCUUGUCAGCUGGCAAGCUGGCAACCCAG
rnacentral:snRNA from 1 species